rnacentral:lncRNA from 1 species
AUGCUUUAAAGUAGAAACAUGGCAAAUAUUAUAUACAUAUGUGUUAAUAGGAAAUAUGCAAACUCUGGAGCAGCAUGGGUCACUGUCAUAUUCUAGGCGGUGUACAAACUAUGCAGGAUAAAUCCUGACCCAGCCAGUGUUGAUAAGUGUUUGCCAAGCAGCGGGACCAAAAUACCACUGGGACCGUGCAAGGAAUAUCUGAUAACCUGGUGUUCCAAAGGGGUACGUGCAAGGAUGUGGAGCUCCAUGGCUGCUGCUGUUAUACAACAACAGUGUGGAUUUCCAGACUUCUCAUGAUGACUAUGAAUGGCCCAGUCAUCUCCCUCAAGUAAGUCAUUCCCUGAUCAUGACAGGCACGAGCCAACACUCUGCGACAAUGUUCUCAUUGUUUGCAGUGAAUUUGGAGCCUGAUGCUAAGGAUGAAAGCCUUUGUCAGCUGUGCAGGCAAUCUCUCUGUGGUUCUACUGAAAAACAAGGCUAGAUUUUUC